rnacentral:rRNA from 1 species
UAGGGAAUCUUCGGCAAUGGACGCAAGUCUGACCGAGCAACGCCGCGUGAGUGAAGAAGGUUUUCGGAUCGUAAAACUCUGUUGUUAGAGAAGAACAAGGACGUUAGUAACUGAACGUCCCCUGACGGUAUCUAACCAGAAAGCCACGGCUAACUACGUGCCAGCAGCCGCGGUAAUACGUAGGUGGCAAGCGUUGUCCGGAUUUAUUGGGCGUAAAGCGAGCGCAGGCGGUUUCUUAAGUCUGAUGUGAAAGCCCCCGGCUCAACCGGGGAGGGUCAUUGGAAACUGGGAGACUAGAGUGCAGAAGAGGAGAGUGGAAUUCCAUGUGUAGCGGUGAAAUGCGUAGAUAUAUGGAGGAACACCAGUGGCGAAGGCGGCUAUCUGGUCUGUAACUGACGCUGAGGCACGAAAGCGUGGGGAGCAAACAGG